GCAUUAAUGGGGUAGUGGUAACCUGGGUCGUUGCCAUUGAGAUGAUCUCGACCCGCCGGGGGUUCGAUUCCCUCUUAAUGCA
rnacentral:tRNA from 1 species